rnacentral:tRNA from 1 species
UUGAGAGAGACAUAGUGGUUAUGAUGUUGGCUUGAAACCAAUAGUAGGGGGUUCAAUUCCUUCCUCUCUUA